rnacentral:rRNA from 1 species
CCUACGGGUGGCAGCAGUCGAGAAUCAUUCACAAUGGGGGAAACCCUGAUGGUGCGACGCCGCGUGGGGGAAUGAAGGUCUUCGGAUUGUAAACCCCUGUCAUGUGGGAGCAAAUUAAAAAGAUAGUACCACAAGAGGAAGAGACGGCUAACUCUGUGCCAGCAGCCGCGGUAAUACAGAGGUCUCAAGCGUUGUUCGGAAUCACUGGGCGUAAAGCGUGCGUAGGCUGUUUCGUAAGUCGUGUGUGAAAGGCGCGGGCUCAACCCGCGGACGGCACAUGAUACUGGGAGACUAGAGUAAGGGAGGGGGAACCGGAAUUCUCGGUGUAGCAGUGAAAUGCGUAGAUAUCGAGAGGAACACUCGUGGCGAAGGCGGGUUCCUGGACAUUAACUGACGCUGAGGCACGAAGGCCAGGGGAGCGAAAGGGAUUAGAUACCCUUGUAGUC